rnacentral:rRNA from 1 species
AUUGAACGCUGGCGGCAGGCCUAACACAUGCAAGUCGAGCGGAGCGGCGGACGGGUGAGUAAUGCCUAGGAAUCUGCCUGGUAGUGGGGGAUAACGUCCGGAAACGGGCGCUAAUACCGCAUACUAUCAGAUGAGCCUAGGUCGGAUUAGCUAGUUGGUGGGGUAAAGGCCUACCAAGGCGACGAUCCGUAACUGGUCUGAGAGGAUGAUCAGUCAAGUUACACUGGAGCUACGGCCCAGUCUAGUACGGGAGGCGGGGGUGGAGAGUAUUGUACAAGGGGAGAGGGCCUGGUCUGACCAUGCCGAGUGGGGUAAGGAGGGCAGGGGAUUUGAAAGGUCUUUAAGUUGUAAAGCGGUACUAACAGAAUAAGCACCGGCUAACUCCGUGCCAGCCGCCGCGGUAAUAC